rnacentral:misc_RNA from 1 species
UCUCUCCUGUGGAGAUCUCAGGCUUGUCUAUGGUGAAAGGGCAGAAGCGAGCUUUCUUCGUAUGAUGAAGACGAGGAUGAAGUAUUUGAUGCUGUCGGGAAAAAAAGUAGGCCUUUAAAAAAGAGGAUUUCGACUCCGCCGGAAGGAAGUCGUUUUGCACCUACCGGAAUAAGGUAAACCUCAGUUUGGAGACUAUGGCUGAUAUCAUACAAGCCUUGCCCUCCAUGCCGUUCCUCCAGCAUUUCGCUUAGACGCUCCGCCUGAUAGCCCCCAGGAACCUUG